UUUAAUUCUAUUUACCUGAGAGUCUAAAAAAGUCAAAAGCAGGUGGUCGGCAGGACCUCAGGAAAGAGAACUGACUGCAGUGGGUUAAGAGAAAACUUUUUGGGGUGAUGGAAAUUUUAUCUUAAUUGAGGUGGUAGGUGUACUUCAGGUGUAGGUUAUACCUUUGUAAAGCUGGGAGAAAAAGAAUGUAAUGUAACAUGUAGUAUUUUACUGAUUUUAACUACAUAACACCAGUUGAUAAAUGCCUAGAGAAAUAGCCUGAACUGUAGAAUUGGCAGUUGUGCUCAAGGUGGCUCACUGGUCCACAGCUAUUAAUGAUAUAUUCUCCCUUAGUUUCAGGUUCGCUCUAGUUAAAAUCAUGGCUUAUGGAUCAUCAUAUGAUAGCCCUUGUUGAAGUAGGUGGAACCAUUUGUUCUGUCAGCAGCUACCCACCUGGAUAUUUUUGGGGGUGGCCAAAAUUACUUGUAAUGAAAAACCCACUAAUGCCUAAUUGUAUAUCCCAGCAUGAAAGGGGAAAGAUCAACUCCAUGCAUCAUGUAGAUGUUUCUGCCCUCGGAAGCAGGAAAUGGUAGGCAGAAAAACAGUGUCGGCUGCAUUGGAAGAAGCGAAUCCAGCUCAUGAGUCGAGGCUCUGCAGCCAGAUCAUCUUACACUUGUCCCUGGUGAAGCAUUUGAACUGGAGCCAGGGCAGUCUGUGAGUACUGCCAAAAGCCUUUAUUACAGAAGAUGCACACCUUCUUAGUAAAAACUGGGAGCUCUAGUAUUAAAGUGAAAAUUAAAUGGAAUUGAUUUUUGUUCUAGCUUAGAAAAAACUUAAAUUCUACCACUACAGCCUCACAGUCCUGCAGUGCUCUUCUAGUUUUGUUUGUUUUUUGUUUUUUUAGACGGAGUCUCGCUCUGUCACCCAGGCUGGAGUGCAAUGGCACAAUCUUGGCUCACUGCAACCUCCACCUCCUGGGUUCAAGCAAUUCUCCUGCCUCAGCUUCCCGAGUAGCUGGGACUACAGGUGUGUGCCACCAUGCCUGGAUAAUUUUUGUAUUUUUAGUAGAGACGGGGUUUCACCACGUUAGCUAGGCUGGUCUCGAACUUCUGACCUCAGGCGAUCUGUCCACCUCUGCCUCCCAAAGUGCUGGGAUUACAGGCGCCCAGCCUGCUCUUCUGUUUUUAAAUUAUUUUUGAAUUGAUCUUUUUUCACAUUUUAAUUUUUUUGGUUUAAUAACGGUAUGAGAGUAGGAAUUCUCCCUGAUGUGUAGGGUGAAAACAGUUGAGUUUCAGAGAGAUCAAUAACUUACUCAGAAGUCACAUAGCCAAUAAAUGAGUUUGAGACACUAUAAAAGAGUGACUUGGAGUCCACAGACCACUCACUGAUUUGCAUUAUUUACUUAUUUAUGCGAAAGUAAAUAAUGGGACUUUCUACACUUUUUAAAAAUAUAAAAAUAAUGGGAGACAAAAAGUUAAAAAUUGUUAAGUCCAAUACUUUAAAAAAACUCUGCAAACUGUGGCCUUACUGAGUUAAUCUACCUUUCUUCCUCCUGAUUCCCUGAAGUAACUAACUGCUGUUAACAAUUUAGCCUGUAUUGUUCCUUAGUUUGGACAUUUUCCUUGAUUUGUACAGUCAGCCACACACACCUGCUCACAUUUUUGGGGGUCAUGCUCUACUUACUGGUUUGCAACAAGUUUUGUUUUUUAUUUUACAUAUAUCUCAUGACAUUUCACUUAAUAUGCCCCAUUUUUUCAGGUCAGUGCCUAUAGACCUAUCUCAUUCUUUUAAAUGAGGUAAUAUUCUAUUGUACAGAUGUCCGUAAUUGUUCAAUUAUUCCCUUGUUGGUGGACAUUCAGUUGUUUCCAACUGUUUGCAAUUAUAAACACUGCUCCAAUGAACCCCCUAUCCUGCUAAAUAGCACUGGCUUAGGACCCCAAGGAAAACCAGUCCUAAUGGGUGCAAGACUGUAUAAAUAUCCACAUUUGACAGACACAUUCAGAGAUGCAUAGAGUUCAUUAGAUAUUUCUUUGAUGUGACGUUUGUACUUGAACUAUAUAUUAUUCCAGUACCUUACAUCUUAGAUGUAGAAGUCGCUAGGUCAAAGGAUGUGUUUUGAAUUUAAAACAUGUUGAAUGACUGUUCUCACAUUUUAAACAGGAGUAAUCUACUACAAACCAGCCAGCCUAACCACUGCCCCUGCUCUCAGCAAUGAUGGGCUCAUCAGCUUGGUAAGAGAGAACAUUACUCACAAUCUUGCUUCUCAAUCUUAAUCUAUUUGUGCUUGGUGUUUUAUAUAACAUCACUAACCCUAAUACUUGAGUAUUUACUUUGGCCCUUCUGUCCAUUUUAUCCAAAAGCAAACAGAUAGCCUUCAAGGGACACCAUUGCCUUAAGCAGAAUAUGCCUCCUAAGCAUUGAAAGCCUUUGACCCAUCUGAUAUCCAAGUUCUGGCUUAUUAUGUUAUUAGGGCCUUGAAUAACUUUAUGUAUAUUAUUAUGGACUGAAUGUAUCCCCACAAAUUCAUGUUGACCCUCUGACCUCCAGUGUGAUGGUCUUUGGAGAUGAGGCCUUUGGCAGGUGAUUAGAGCUAGAUGAGGUCAUGAGAGGGAGGCCCUCAUGAAAGGCUCAGUGGCCUGAUAAGAAGAAACACCAGAGAGCUUGCUCUGUUUCUCUGCCUACCUGGCGCACACAUACAGAAGAGGUGAUAUGACCACACAGCAACAUGGUGGCCACCAGCAAGCUAGGAGAGGGAUCAGAAUGAAACCUAUUUUGCUGGCACCUUGAUCUUGAAAUUCUAGCCUCCAGAACUGUGAGAAAUAAAAUUCUUUUAUUGAAGCCA
rnacentral:lncRNA from 1 species